rnacentral:rRNA from 1 species
AGAUUGAACGCUGGCGGCAUGCCUUACACAUGCAAGUCGAACGGCAGCACGGGAGCAAUCCUGGUGGCGAGUGGCGAACGGGUGAGUAAUACAUCGGAACGUGCCCAGUUGUGGGGGAUAGCCCGGCGAAAGCCGGAUUAAUACCGCAUACGACCUACGGGUGAAAGCGGGGGAUCGCAAGACCUCGCGCUAUUGGAGCGGCCGAUGUCGGAUUAGCUUGUUGGUGGGUAAAAGCCCACCAAGGCUACGAUCCGUAGCUGGUCUGAGAGGACGACCAGCCACACUGGGACUGAGACACGGCCCAGACUCCUACGGGAGGCAGCAGUGGGGAAUUUUGGACAAUGGGCGCGAAGCCUGAUCCAGCCAUGCCGCGUGCGGGAAGAACGGCCGUUCGGUUACGUAAACCGCUUUUGUCGAGGAAGUAACGGUACCAAGCCUAAUACCGUACGGCUAA